rnacentral:rRNA from 1 species
UACAGAGGGGGCAAGCGUUAUUCGGAAUUAUUGGGCGUAAAGGGCGCGUAGGCGGCCUGGCAAGUGGAUGGUGAAAUCCCUCGGCUUAACCGAGGAACUGCCAUCCAGACUGCUUGGCUUGAGACCGGGAGAGGUGAGUGGAAUUCCCAGUGUAGCGGUGAAAUGCGUAGAUAUAUGGAAGAACAUCAAUAACGGCGAAGGCAGUUAACUAUUCUGUUACUGACAUUGAGGCACGAAAGCGUGGGGAGCAAAACGG